rnacentral:hammerhead_ribozyme from 1 species
AUCCAACUGGCCAGUCCCAAAUAGGAUGAAACGCGUGUCCUGGAU